rnacentral:rRNA from 1 species
GACGAACGCUGGCGGCGUGCUUAACACAUGCAAGUCGAACGGAAAGGCCCUGCUUUUGUGGGGUGCUCGAGUGGCGAACGGGUGAGUAACACGUGAGUAACCUGCCCUUGACUUUGGGAUAACUUCAGGAAACUGGGGCUAAUACCGGAUAGGAGCUCCUGCUGCAUGGUGGGGGGUGGAAAGUUUCGGCGGUUGGGGAUGGACUCGCGGCUUAUCAGCUUGUUGGUGGGGUGGUGGCUUACCAAGGCUUGGACGGGUAGCUGGCCUGAGAGGGUGACCGGCCACAUUGGGACUGAGAUGCGGCCCAGACUCCUACGGGAGGCAGCAGUGGGGAAUAUUGCACAAUGGGCGGAAGCCGGAUGCAGCAACGCCGCGUGCGGGAUGACGGCCUUCGGGUUGUAAACCGCUUUCGCCUGUGACGAAGCGUGAGUUACGGUAAUGGGUAGAGAAGCACCGGCUUACUACGUG